AGAUUGAACGCUGGCGGAAUGCCUUACACAUGCAAGUCGAACGGCAGCACGGGAGCAAUCCUGGUGGCGAGUGGCGAACGGGUGAGUAAUACAUCGGAACGUGCCCAAUCGUGGGGGAUAACGUAGCGAAAGCUACGCUAAUACCGCAUACGAUCUACGGAUGAAAGCAGGGGAUCGCAAGACCUUGCGCGAAUGGAGCGGCCGAUGGCAGAUUAGGUAGUUGGUGGGGUAAAGGCUCACCAAGCCUUCGAUCUGUAGCUGGUCUGAGAGGACGACCAGCCACACUGGGACUGAGACACGGCCCAGACUCCGUACGGGAGGCAGCAGUGGGGAAUUUUGGACAAGUGGGCGCAAGCCUGAUCCAGCCAGUCCGCGUGCAGGAUGAAGGCCUUGGUGUAAACUGCUUUGUACGUAACGAAAGUCCUUUCUACUAAGUACAGGAGUCAUGACGUACGUAAGAAUAAGCACG
rnacentral:rRNA from 1 species